UACGUAGGGGGCAAGCGUUGUCCGGAUUUAUUGGGCGUAAAGAGCGUGUAGGCGGCUUCACAGGUCCGCUGUGAAAACUCGAGGCUCAACCUCGAGCUGUCGGUGGAAACCGUGUGGCUAGAGUCCGGAAGAGGAGAGUGGAAUUCCCGGUGUAGCGGUGAAAUGCGCAGAUAUCGGGAAGAACACCAAUUGCGAAGGCAAGCUCGCUGGGACGUAACUGACGCUGAGACGCGAAAGCGUGGGGAGCAACAGGG
rnacentral:rRNA from 1 species